rnacentral:rRNA from 1 species
CAGUCGCCACGGUAAUACGAAGGGUGCAAGCGUUAAUCGGAUUUACUGGGCGUAAAGCGUGCGUAGGCGGCUUUUUAAGUCGGAUGUGAAAUCCCUGAGCUUAACUUAGGAAUUGCAUUCGAUACUGGGAAGCUAGAGUAUGGGAGAGGAUGGUAGAAUUCCAGGUGUAGCGGUGAAAUGCGUAGAGAUCUGGAGGAAUACCGAUGGCGAAGGCAGCCAUCUGGCCUAAUACUGACGCUCAUGCACGAAAGCGUGGGGAGCAAACAGGAUUAGAUACCCCCGUAGUCCCUGUCUCUUAUAC